rnacentral:lncRNA from 1 species
AAAGAUUAUGGCUCAGCAGGCCUGUGAGAGGGUCUCUUUGGAGGAUUUUAUGAGAGCUUUUGUGAGGGUGAGUGCUUCUUGUUGAGAGAGAGAUUGGUGUAUGAGAGUUGAGAGUGUGAGAUCUCCUCUUGUACUUAUUUUUUUUCUCAUAGUGAAGUCUUACAUGCCCCAUGAAGAUAGAUCUUGGUCUAAUCUACGUAUUUGGUUGUGUUUUCUUUUAUUUCUUCUUUCUUUCUAUUAUAACGUUACAAGUGGUACUUGAUCUCCAACAAUUAAUAUCAGAGCC